rnacentral:snRNA from 1 species
AUCGCUUCUCGGCCUUUUGGCUACAAUCAUGUGCAGUAUCUGUUCUUAUCAGUUUAAUAUCCUAGUACAAAAUCCAGAAUGCUCUAGUUUCACACCAGAAUGCUCU